AUGCAUGUCUAAGUAUAAAUGAUAUACAGUGAAACUGCGAAUGGCUCAUUAAAACGGUUAUAGUUUAUUUGGCAAUCGAAUUUACAUGGAUAACCGUGGUAAUUCUAGAGCUAAUACAUGCUGUAAAGCCCGACUUCACGGAAGGGCCGUAUUUAUUAGAUAACAGACCAAUAUUCCUCGUGUCUAUUGUGGUGAAUCAUAGUAACUAAUCGGAUCGCAUGGGCUAGUCCCGCGACAAACCAUUCAAGUUUCUGCCCCAUCAGCUUUCGAUGGUAGUGUAUUGGACUACCAUGGCUUUUACGGGUAACGGAGAAUUAGGGUUCGGUUCCGGAGAGGGAGCCUGAGAAACGGCUACCACAUCUAAGGAUGGCAGCAGGCGCGUAAAUUACCCAAUCCUGACUCAGGGAGGUAGUGACAAGAAAUAACAAUCUGGGAGCCUCUGGCUCUACGGAAUUGCAAUGAGAACAAUUUAGACCACUUAGCGAGGAACAAUUGGAGGGCAAGUCUGGUGCCAGCAGCCGCGGUAAUUCCAGCUCCAAUAGCGUAUAUUAAAGUUGUUGCAGUUAAAAAGCUCGUAGUUGAAUGUCUGGCUGUCGGGUGUUUCGGCUUCGGUCGGGCACACGGCGGUCAUCCGCAUACGAAACUAGUACGGCCUUUACUGGUUCGGCUGGGGGAGUGUGCAUUUUACUUUGAAAAAAUUAGAGUGUUUCAGGCAGGCAAUGGCUUGAAUACAUUAGCAUGGAAUAAUGGAAUAGGACUUUAGUCAAUUUUGUUGGUUAUUUGGCUUUAGUAAUGAUUAA
rnacentral:rRNA from 1 species